rnacentral:rRNA from 1 species
GACGAACGCUGGCGGCGUGCCUAAUACAUGCAAGUAGAACGCUGAAGAGAGGAGCUUGCUCUUCUUGGAUGAGUUGCGAACGGGUGAGUAACGCGUAGGUAACCUGCCUUGUAGCGGGGGAUAACUAUUGGAAACGAUAGCUAAUACCGCAUAACAAUGGAUGACACAUGUCAUUUAUUUGAAAGGGGCAAUUGUUCCACUACAAGAUGGACCUGCGUUGUAUUAGCUAGUAGGUGAGGUAAUGGCUCACCUAGGCGACGAUACAUAGCCGACCUGAGAGGGUGAUCGGCCACACUGGGACUGAGACACGGCCCAGACUCCUACGGGAGGCAGCAGAAGGGAAUCUUCGGCAAUGGGGGCAACCCUGACCGAGCAACGCCGCGUGAGUGAAGAAGGUUUUCGGAUCGUAAAGCUCUGUUGUAAGUCAAGAACGGGUGUGAGAGUGGAAAGUUCACACUGUGACGGUAGCUUACCAGAAAGGGACGGCUAACUACGUG